rnacentral:rRNA from 1 species
GAUUGCAGUCUGCAACUCGACUGCAUGAAGUCGGAAUCGCUAGUAAUCGCGGAUCAGCAUGCCGCGGUGAAUACGUUCCCGGGCCUUGUACACACCGCCCGUCACACCAUGAGAGUCGGGAACACCCGAAGUCCGUAGCCUAACCGCAAGGAGGGCGCGGCCGAAGGUGGGUUCGAUAAUUGGGUGAAGUCGUAACAAGGUAAC